GGCCACCAGAAGCCACUUACUUUCUGACAUCACUGGAAGUUGUCAGAAGCCGGCCUACAUCACCAGAAUCAAUCAGAGGUGGGCCUACAUCACCAGAAAUGGUCAGAAUCAGGCAUACCUCCUCAGCCUGGAAGUUCUGUUCCACACCACACCCCCAAAUAUGCCCAGGCAUGCCCUGAAGAUGGACAUGUGAUCCCCCUCUACAAACACGCACCACUACUCUGGACCAAUAGGAACAGGUUUUAAAACCUAGAAAGGCUUGAUGGUGCGGGCAUGAUGACAGAGCAGUGACUAUUUUGUGUAAUGUUAUUGGCUGAAACAGGUUCAAGUGACCCCUCUAAGUACAGGCCCUGUGGCAGAGUGCUUAGAGGAGGCCAUUUUACAGUUCUGCAGAGACUGCAGCCUGUGAGCCUAUCUUUGCCACUGGAACCCUUGAACAUUAAGACUGGGAAGACCAGAGCUGUGUAUAUGACACUGAAGAGCCUGUACCACCCUCCAGCAGGCCUGAAAACUCACCAGAUUCCUAUUUUUACCAAAGGCCAGGUUCCAGAUCCAGAAAUAACCUUCCCAGCGAACCAGUAUUCUGAACGAAAAUGCAACUGUAGGUGCUGUAAAACCAUCCCUGUUCCUGCUAUGGAAACUGAAGCUGGAGAUCCUCCAGCUACUGCCCCCCCAAAAACAGAAGCAUGAGUUCAUCAGGUUCUGAAACAAGCUCCUGCGAAAUGAAAGCUGCAUGAGUGAAGAAGAGGCCUCAUCAUUAUUGCUGUGAGGGUUACUGUUGCUGCAACUCAGACAGGGACUUUUCUGAUGUUGAGUGUGACUGGCAUUCUUUUUUGACAAGAAGGCCCCGGGAUUCUCAGUGUGACAAUAAGAGCUGCAGGUCUAGUGAAGACUGGCCAUUGUGGGAUGGCCUGAAACCAACUUCAGGCAGCCCGAAAUCCUCUUACUGCAAGGCUAUAUGUUUUACUUCAUCAUCUGACUGCAUUAUCAAGCCUUAUAGGGUUUUUUCUCAUUUGCGGAUAUUGUACGUGUUACCUUUUUGAUUUGUGAUUACAAAAACUGAACAGGAAGCUCCAAUUGAGGAGCAGGACAAACAGGUCCAUGCCUUUGAGAACAUGUACCUUGGGGAUGUCAGUGUAUCCUGCAACUCACGUGGUUGCACUGAUGGUGACCAAUAAAAAAAUUAUUUUAAA